rnacentral:lncRNA from 1 species
CGAUGUAUCUAAUCCAACGGUUGGAUUUCUUUCUAAAAUUAAAAUCAAUUUUGACUAAUGUUCCAUCUUUUUCCCUCUUUCAAAGAAAAGAAGUGUUUCUUUUCUCUGCCAUGGCAGAAGAGUUUUGGCUCCUUCUUUCUUCUUAGCAAAUUUGACUCUCAUAAUCUUGUAAUCAGAAAUUUGUGUGGCCAUUCUAAGGAAUCAUCUGCAACCUCAAGCACUUUGACUCAAGAACUCAAAUUCGUUUGCUGUUUACAAUGAAGAUGAAAAAGGUAAAAUUGUUCUCUCUUUUUCUUUCCUCCAAUAUUUCACAAUUUCGGCAAUCGAAUCUCUGCUCCCUCUGCCCAUAUCGUCCUUUUUCUUUCUUCAACACGCGAUUUCAAAUUGUUCUUGAGCUGUUUGAAACCAUAACCCUUCAAGAUCUCUCCCAAAUUAACCCUAGAAAAACCGUAGUUCUUCUAUAAAUAUCAAGGUUUGGUAAUAAUUGAGGACUACUCUUGGAGCCAUCUUCAAAGAGUUUUAAUGUUCAAAAUACUCUAAAAAGGUCUUGGUUGUGUAGCCUCAGUUACUCUCCUCUAAAAAUAGAGGUGUUGUUUUUCUUUGCAUCUUUCGGAGCUUGUAAAGUCCGUAGUCUCGAGUUCAAGUUCGAAACCAGAAUCCAGUAGAUCUGCUCGACGCGUCUAAGUUUGUUGCAUCGCAAAAGGUCAGUGCUGAAAAUUUUCUUCUCGGUUUGUCUUUGAAAAUUAAAAAUGGUUUGUAUGUUCUUUAUAAGAGUUUUAAACCAGCUUCUGUAGGAGUCAUAUAGUUAUAGGUAUUCUGGGUAAGUUAAUGAAUAGGCAAUAAAUCCAAAUAAUAAAAAUUAUACGUAAAGAAAUUAGUAGAUAAUGAAAUUUUAUCUUUAAUCCUCCUCUUUCCUUUGUCAAAGAACAAUGUUGCCUUUUUGUUUACUAUGUGUCAAAUUUUGCUCUUCAUUUCAAGAAGUAAGGUUAUGGCUGCUGCUUUUUUUUUUUGGUCUCAAAAUGUAUCCCAAGUGUUACUAUUUUAGUAUAAAUAUUAUAAAAAUAUAUUGUUAGAAAUUAACUAUUUGGGUGCUUAGUUUAAAUGAUUUCGUGUUUAGUAAUAAGUUUUUCUUAAAGUGGUUUACUUCAUAGAGUUCUUGUCCAAAAUAAUACUAAAAUUUAAGACCCUUUAUAUAGAUAUUACAUGUAGAAGCCACUGCUUAAGUCGAACAUUUGAAGAAUACUCCAUGUUUGAAAUAUUUCUUCUUUUAUGAGUUAAGAAUUAUAUUUAUAGUUAUAGAUUUACACUAUGAUGAAAGAACUUAAUAAACUAUCUUGACCUUUUUAAACCAGUGAAUAUCUAAAGUUUUUGCUAGAUAGCUUUAAGGUAGUUAAGUUUUCUUAACAUAAAUUUAUUAUAAAAUUAGCACUAAUUAAUGUUAAGACAGUGUAUUGUAGACUGAAAUUGUACUCUCAGAUAGUAAAAAAAAGACUAAAAUAUCAUGUGCAAGUGACUUAAGGUCAUGUCUCAUUAGCCUAUUAUGACAUAUUCAUUGUAGUUUUUGUCAGAUUCUGCACCGAGGAGGUCGAUUUGUGAGGAAAGCGCAAGGCGAGCUAAGAUUUUGGCCGGUUUGAGGUGAGUAAUGGUUAUGAAUGAUAUACUGAGGGUUUGAAACCCCGUAUUUGCACUAUGCGGUUCUAUGUUGAGAUAAGACACGCGUCUCGUGAUGAGCAUGGUGAUGUAUCUGUUGGGGACUCGGACUUGGUUCAUCCCAUUUGUUGACUUACUGUACUUCUUGACUGAGACUGAGACUGAGCUUGUGCUCGUAUAUUUUGGGCUAGUUGCCAUGUUUGGGGCCUUGUGACGAUCUGUAGAACUCCUAGGGAGCAUGUUGAGCUGAUUGACCUCACUUUACCUAUUGGACAGAUACCAUCUGUCCUGACUUUGACUGUACAUGAUGAAAUAAACCGGACUUUGCAACUUGCUCCGUAAAAGAGCAAUACCUAGGGUUGACUACACUGUCUUAGCUGAGUGGGCGCGAGCGGCCAAGUCUGAUACCAUCUGUCCUGACUUUGACUGUAAAUGAUGAAAUAAACCGGACUUUGCAACUUGCUCCGUAAAAGAGCAAUACCUAGGGUUGACUAUACUGUCUUAGCUGAGUGGGCCCGAGAGGCCAAAUCUAUAUUGACUAAAAGGGGUCAAGGACCCCGUAGAGAGGCUACUUGAUAUAUAUACAUAUAUAUAUCGGGUCGGGCUGCAUGCAGGAGCAGUAUAUACAUAUACAUGUAUUGGAUCGGACUGCACGCCGCAAUAUUAUAUUAUAUGGAUCGGACUGCAUGCCGCAGUAUUUUAGCGUUUGGGUUGAAGGAGCCCCUCCGGAAUCUGUACAGACCCCCAGUGAGCGCAGCCGGCUAUAUUAUUGGAUCGGGAUGCGCGCCGCAACAGUAUUAUAUAUUAUUGGAUCGGGCUGCGCGCCGCAACAGUAUUAUAUAUUAUUGGAUCGGGUUGCGCGCCGCAGCAGUAUUAUAUUAAAUUGGAUCGGGCUGCGCGCCGCAGUAGUAUAUAUAUCUAGUGUUGGAUCAUGCUGUGCACCGCAACAGUGUUAGCAUAUGGUCGGACGGAAAGGAAAGUAAUUACCAUAUUCUUCUCCCUGUUUGGUACUUAUUUACUGUUCUUGCUAUUGAAAAAAAAAAAGAACUGUUUAGUGUCUUUACCGAAUUUCUUACAUUCAGUUAUUAUUUAUUGCUAUUACUCACUGAGUUGAAACUACUCGCUCUACUCCCUGCACCUUGUAUGCAGAUUCAGGGAUCCCGGAGGCGUAGUUGUGAUUUGCUGUUGCAUUUCAGUCCCUUACUGAGUUGUCAAGGUAGCUGCUGGCGUCCGCAGGACCUGAUCUCUCCUCUAUCUAUCUUUUGUUUCCGUAUCUAGACUUUUCCUUUGUAUUGAAUGUUAUCGGUUGUAUUAGAGGCUCAGACUUGUGACGCCGGAUCCUUUGGAUUUAUUUACUUUGGAUUUCGUUUUCCGUAGUGUUAUCUACUACUUCAAUCUGAGAUUUUAUCUUAAAAAUGGUAUUUAAGUUAAUGAUAAGGCUGGAAAUGUUUUAAUGGUCGGGCUUGUCUUACAAGAUAUUUCGCGCCAUCACGACCGGAGUUUGGAUCGUGACACUAAAGUUCUUGUAUGUGCGCUUAAGAGAAGUCUGCGUUUAACCAAAAUGCAGAAAUUUGACAUUUAUGAACCUUCCAAAUGAUUUCCCUUUGCUUACUGUUACUCUUACUGUUACUAUCUAGUGUGCCGUUAGAAUACUUUAGUAUUUGGUCCUAAUACUUGAAAUAAAGCAAGAAAGCAAGUGUUUAUGACUCCAUGUGUGUUAUUUGUCUUAGAAAAGUCUACUGCUACUCUGUUAUUUUUUUUAUAUAGUAAAAAAAAGGGGCAUUCUACAAGGACUUCAAUAUCUAAUAUUAAGAUUUAAGAUGGAAGUAGAAGCUAUUUUGUUUUUGGAUAGAUUAAGCUGUUUCAUCUAUAGAUGUCAAAUGUGCUGAAAGACGUUCUCAAGUCGCUAAAGCUAAACGUGUGUUCAUCUUUGUAGAUUUUGAUAAAUGACAAACCGACGCGCAUGGAAUAUUGACAUAUGCCGAAGUCCAAGCACAAGANN